UACGUAGGCAGCAAGCGUUGUUCGGAGUUACUGGGCGUAAAGGGUGUGUAGGCGGUUGUUUAAGUUUGGUGUGAAAUCUCCCGGCUCAACUGGGAGGGUGCGCCGAAUACUGAAUGACUAGAGUGUGGGAGAGGUGAGUGGAAUUCCUGGUGUAGCGGUGAAAUGCGUAGAUAUCAGGAGGAACACCGGUGGUGUAGACGGCUCACUGGACCAUAACUGACGCUGAGACACGAAAGCGUGGGGAGCAAACAGG
rnacentral:rRNA from 1 species